CACAUCCUUCGUCCCUCUCCUCCCCCCUCCCCAACCCUCCACGUCGCCACCCCCAAGCUUUCCCCUCGAAUCAGUCAAAAUUGAGGAGAUGAGGUGACUCAAUUUGCUCAAAAAACAGCAGAAAACUCUGAAAAGAGGUACAGGGGAAGUUGCUCAUGGAUGGAGGGAGAGAUCAAAGAGGAGAGAGCACUCACCAGGCUAAUUUCGAUGCAUAUGGAGCUUAUCUUGUUGGUUCUCAGGGCACCCAAAAAGCCAGCAACAACAAUGGUUAACUUCUGCUUCUGUCAGUCAAAUGCCAUAUCAUGCAAACCCCUGGAUGCAACAUGCAGGAGUUGCUAUUGCUGAUGACAAUACAAUGCAUAUGUCUCUCUUUGGUAGCUACAAUAAUGUCGACAGCACAGAGGUGAGCUUACAUACAAACCUGGGAGAGGGGGGGGGGACACUUCAAGUGGCAAGUCCACUCAAAUGCCUCCACCACUCCAACACCCUGUAAAGACCGUGGUGCAUGAUGCCCCCAUGUCGUAUAUGCAGCUGCUCCUUGCUGCUGAACAAGAGGUCAUUUACCCUCCCCCCUAACAGACUUGUCAUAUAUGUUGAUGUAUACAAAUAAAAAUGUAUUCUUUCAACAUAGAAUCCUAGAAAAAAAUAUUAGUAAAAUGUAUUCUUCCAAUGAUAUAUACAAUGUGCAAAGAAUUAACUACUGUUGUGAGCAGUAAAAAAUAAAUACAAAAUAAGUAGACAACCCAAGUUGCGAGUCGAGGGCCUAUUCGCAAAGCAUCCACCAUCGAGUAGACAACCCAAGUUGCGAGUCAAAUGGUCUAAUUGCAAGUGGCAUGCGGGCAACCACAACUGUGAGUCGAUGGUGGACAUGCAACUAGGGAAAUUUCAAAAGUAAAAAAAUAGACCAGUUGCGAGUCGAGGCUCUAUUUGCAAGUGGCAUGCGAGCACCCACAGUUACUAGUCGAUGGUGGACUUGCAACUAAGGCAAUUACAAACUACAAAAAAAGCCAGAGUUAGAAGUCAAUGGUCGAGUUGCAAGUGGCAUCGAGUAAACAACCCUAGUUGCGAGU